AUUGAACGCUGGCGGCAUGCUUUACACAUGCAAGUCGAACGGCAGCGCGGGCUUCGGCCUGGCGGCGAGUGGCGAACGGGGGAGUAAUGCACCUGAACGUGCCCAGUAGUGGGGGAUAGCCCGGCGAAAGCCGGAUUAAUACCGCAUACGACCUGAGGGUGAAUGCGGGGGGCCGAAAGGCCUCUCGCGUUUGGAGUGGGCGAAGUCGGUUUAGCUAGUUGGUGGGGUAAAGGCUUACCAAGGCGACGAUGCGUAGCUGGUCUGAGAGGACGACCAGCCACACUGGAACUGAGACACGGCCCAGACUCCUACGGGAGGCAGCAGUGGGGAAUUUUGGACAAUGGGGGCAACCCUGAUCCAGCCAUGCCGCGUGCGGGAAGAAGGCCUUCGGGUUGUAAACCGCUUUUGUUCGGGAAGAAAUCCUCUGGGCUAAUACCCCGGGGGGAUGACGGUACCGGAAGAAUAAGCACCGGCUAACUACGUG
rnacentral:rRNA from 1 species